rnacentral:miRNA from 1 species
GCAGACAAAUUCCAGCCAAUCAGCAGCAGACCCUCCCUCCCAGACCCUCCCACCUCCUGGACAGCAUCCAUUUUACAUUCAUUGUGAAGCUGCAUUCUUAGUGAGCUGUCCAGGAGGUGGGAGGGUCUGGGAGGGAGGGUCUGCUGCUGAUUGGCUGGAAUGUGUCUG